rnacentral:rRNA from 1 species
CGUGUAGGCGGGAAUACAAGUCAGAUGUGAAAUACUGUGGCUCAACCACAGAACGGCAUCUGAAACUGUAUUUCUUGAGUACUGGAGAGGAAAGCGGAAUUCCUAGUGUAGCGGUGAAAUGCGUAGAUAUUAGGAGGAACACCGGUGGCGAAGGCGGCUUUCUGGACAGUAACUGACGCUGAGACGCGAAAGCGUGGGGAGCAAACAGGAUUAGAUACCCUGGUAGUCC